GGUUAAGCGACUAAGCGUACACGGUGGAUGCCCUGGCAGUCAGAGGCGAUGAAGGACGUGCUAAUCUGCGAUAAGCGCCGGUAAGGUGAUAUGAACCGUUAUAACCGGCGAUUUCCGAAUGGGGAAACCCAGUGUGAUUCGUCACACUAUCAUUAACUGAAUCCAUAGGUUAAUGAGGCGAACCGGGGGAACUGAAACAUCUAAGUACCCCGAGGAAAAGAAAUCAACCGAGAUUCCCCCAGUAGCGGCGAGCGAACGGGGAGGAGCCCAGAGCCUGAAUCAGCAUGUGUGUUAGUGGAAGCGUCUGGAAAGGCGCGCGAUACAGGGUGACAGCCCCGUACACAAAAGCGCAUGUGCUGUGAGCUCGAUGAGUAGGGCGGGACACGUGGUAUCCUGUCUGAAUAUGGGGGGACCAUCCUCCAAGGCUAAAUACUCCUGACUGACCGAUAGUGAACCAGUACCGUGAGGGAAAGGCGAAAAGAACCCCGGCGAGGGGAGUGAAAAAGAACCUGAAACCGUGUACGUACAAGCAGUGGGAGCACCCUUUGGGGUGUGACUGCGUACCUUUUGUAUAAUGGGUCAGCGACUUAUAUUCUGUAGCAAGGUUAACCGUAUAGGGGAGCCGGAGGGAAACCGAGUCUUAACCGGGCGUUAAGUUGCAGGGUAUAGACCCGAAACCCGGUGAUCUAGCCAUGGGCAGGUUGAAGGUUGGGUAACACUAACUGGAGGACCGAACCGACUAAUGUUGAAAAAUUAGCGGAUGACCUGUGGCUGGGGGUGAAAGGCCAAUCAAACCGGGAGAUAGCUGGUUCUCCCCGAAAGCUAUUUAGGUAGCGCCUCGUGAAUUCAUCUCCGGGGGUAGAGCACUGUUUCGGCUAGGGGGCCAUCCCGGCUUACCAACCCGAUGCAAACUGCGAAUACCGGAGAAUGUUAUCACGGGAGACACACGGCGGGUGCUAACGUCCGUCGUGAAGAGGGAAACAACCCAGACCGCCAGCUAAGGUCCCAAAGUCAUGGUUAAGUGGGAAACGAUGUGGGAAGGCCCAGACAGCCAGGAUGUUGGCUUAGAAGCAGCCAUCAUUUAAAGAAAGCGUAAUAGCUCACUGGUCGAGUCGGCCUGCGCGGAAGAUGUAACGGGGCUAAACCAUGCACCGAAGCUGCGGCAGCGAACGUAUCACCCAAGACAACUUUACGGAGUUGACGAUUGACGGAGCGAAGCGACGUCAAAGCGUUCAUUAAAGUCGAGUUGGCUUAGGGAUACGUUCGUUGGGUAGGGGAGCGUUCUGUAAGCCUGCGAAGGUGGCCUGUGAGGGUUGCUGGAGGUAUCAGAAGUGCGAAUGCUGACAUAAGUAACGAUAAAGCGGGUGAAAAGCCCGCUCGCCGGAAGACCAAGGGUUCCUGUCCAACGUUAAUCGGGGCAGGGUGAGUCGACCCCUAAGGCGAGGCCGAAAGGCGUAGUCGAUGGGAAACGGGUUAAUAUUCCCGUACUUGGUGUUACUGCGAAGGGGGGACGGAGAAGGCUAUGUUGGCCGGGCGACGGUUGUCCCGGUUUAAGCGUGUAGGUGUGUGUUCCAGGUAAAUCCGGUUCACUUUAACACUGAGGCGUGAUGACGAGGCACUACGGUGCUGAAGCAACAAAUGCCCUGCUUCCAGGAAAAGCCUCUAAGCAUCAGGUAACAUCAAAUCGUACCCCAAACCGACACAGGUGGUCAGGUAGAGAAUACCAAGGCGCUUGAGAGAACUCGGGUGAAGGAACUAGGCAAAAUGGUGCCGUAACUUCGGGAGAAGGCACGCUGACAUGUAGGUGAAGUGAUUUACUCAUGGAGCUGAAGUCAGUCGAAGAUACCAGCUGGCUGCAACUGUUUAUUAAAAACACAGCACUGUGCAAACACGAAAGUGGACGUAUACGGUGUGACGCCUGCCCGGUGCCGGAAGGUUAAUUGAUGGGGUCAGCGCAAGCGAAGCUCCUGAUCGAAGCCCCGGUAAACGGCGGCCGUAACUAUAACGGUCCUAAGGUAGCGAAAUUCCUUGUCGGGUAAGUUCCGACCUGCACGAAUGGCGUAAUGAUGGCCAGGCUGUCUCCACCCGAGACUCAGUGAAAUUGAACUCGCUGUGAAGAUGCAGUGUACCCGCGGCAAGACGGAAAGACCCCGUGAACCUUUACUAUAGCUUGACACUGAACAUUGAGCCUUGAUGUGUAGGAUAGGUGGGAGGCUUUGAAGUGUGGACGCCAGUCUGCAUGGAGCCGGCCUUGAAAUACCACCCUUUAAUGUUUGAUGUUCUAACGUGGACCCGUUACCCGGGUUGCGGACAGUGUCUGGUGGGUAGUUUGACUGGGGCGGUCUCCUCCUAAAGAGUAACGGAGGAGCACGAAGGUUGGCUAAUCCUGGUCGGACAUCAGGAGGUUAGUGCAAUGGCAUAAGCCAGCUUGACUGCGAGCGUGACGGCGCGAGCAGGUGCGAAAGCAGGUCAUAGUGAUCCGGUGGUUCUGAAUGGAAGGGCCAUCGCUCAACGGAUAAAAGGUACUCCGGGGAUAACAGGCUGAUACCGCCCAAGAGUUCAUAUCGACGGCGGUGUUUGGCACCUCGAUGUCGGCUCAUCACAUCCUGGGGCUGAAGUAGGUCCCAAGGGUAUGGCUGUUCGCCAUUUAAAGUGGUACGCGAGCUGGGUUUAGAACGUCGUGAGACAGUUCGGUCCCUAUCUGCCGUGGGCGCUGGAGAACUGAGGGGGGCUGCUCCUAGUACGAGAGGACCGGAGUGGACGCAUCACUGGUGUUCGGGUUGUCAUGCCAAUGGCACUGCCCGGUAGCUAAAUGCGGAAGAGAUAAGUGCUGAAAGCAUCUAAGCACGAAACUUGCCCCGAGAUGAGUUCUCCCUGAGACUUAAAGUCUCCUGAAGGAACGUUGAAGACGACGACGUUGAUAGGCCGGGUGUGUAAGCGCAGCGAUGCGUUGAGCUAACCGGUACUAAUGAACCGUGAGGCUUAACCUU
rnacentral:rRNA from 1 species